rnacentral:tRNA from 1 species
GGCUGGGUAGCUCAGCGGAUUGAGAGCCUUCCCCUCAGGGAGAAGGUCCUAGGUUCGAAUCCGGCCUCAGCCA